rnacentral:tRNA from 1 species
UCCUUGACAGUCCAGCAGUUAGGACUCCACACUUUCACUGCUGAGGGUCAGGGUUCAAUCCCUAGUCAAGGAA